GCAGUGAUGUUGGAUUUAGUUCUUCUUGCCUAGAUCAAACGUUAGUCCAUUGCCUUAAUCCCUCACCUUUUCUGCAAUGUCUACCACCCCACAUCUUCUGGUCUCUUAAUUUCAUGUCUCUAACUGGUUAUCUAUAAUCUCUUCUUAUUACAUAUUCAUAUAACACUUCAGCCUUGCUUCUCUCAUCUUUCUGCAAUGUCUAUACCACCCCACAUCUUCUGAUCUCUUAAUUUUAUUGUUUCAUCGGUCUACAGCCUACCAGGGUCUUCA